AACGCAACUAGUAUGCGCUCGAACACGGCAUUGCGCACAUCAUGGGCGAGAGUGGGCGCGCGCAAAUCGAUGCGAAUCGUGUGCGAUGUGCCAGGCACGAAUCAAUCGUGACACGACACAACGCAACUCGGCGCGACGGAGCUGUGCGGCUAACGGUGCCACCGACUCUGGCUGGUCUGGGCUGGGCGGUGCCAUCUGACGGUGGGUCAACUCCAACGACGACAACGACGACGACUGCCUCAAGUGAUCCGCGGUCUACUUUUAGGCUGACUCCAGGAGUCAACGCUCAUUUCCUACAGGGCAUCAGCAAUGUCGUCGACUUCGAAAGGGAUACAGUUAUAGCCGUGUAUAGCUGGAAGCGUUGCGGACGAAAACGGUAACAUGGCAGCUGAGUGUCGUGACAGACAGAGACGGCGACAGAGGAAGAGACAGAGAGAGAGAGCGAGUGUGUGGGUAUGUGUGUGAGUGUGGGUGGUGAGAGCGUUCUCCAUUUUAUGUACAAUAAAGGAAUUUGCACACACAGCGACAGACAGCGCCACAGAGAGACAACGGGACAGCGAGACAGCCGGACAGCGGGACAGCGAGACAGACAGACGUGCGCAUGAAGUGAACUUGUUAAUGCUGUCUAUAAGCAGCAUUUACAUACGAGUUGACCCCACAUGUACACAUAAAUAUGUUUAUGCUGUUGUGCAUAUGUGUGUGUGUGUGUGUUUGUGUGUGAGUAAGUACGAUGUCCUGCUUGCUUUUAAGAGAAUGCCCAGCCGCAAGCCUUCGAAUGGACACACUUGACUAAAUGUGAUUACUAUGUAUGUGCAGCAGCAGCUAUGUAUAUACACCAACACACACACACACACACAUGCACAUACUUAUGCAUGGCAGCAUGUAUCACUAUGCCCACUCCCAUUGGACCUACGAUGAAGCACCCUGUAAAUCUAUUGUCUAACAUUCUGAAGGCUGCAGCCGACUAACAAUUUCCACUCCAUUUAAAAUGUUCGCUCGAUAUGACAGCGUCUUAGAUGUGUAAACAGCGCUUGGCUUAGAUUUAUUUAUGAACUGGCUGUUGGUAUGUCCGAAAUGUGCGGAUCGGAUCACACAUCAAAUGGUGUCCCGCUGCUGCAGCAGACGCGUCCACAAAUAAACGCGCGCGCCACAAAGCAUCUCGAAUACAUCAAAGUAACAAGCUCCAGCUGUGCACCACAGCCAACCACAGCGAAAACCACUGACCAAGCACGCCCAGAGAGCAGCAGCAGCGGCAGCAGCAGCGAGCAGGAGCGAGGGAGACAGAGCUAGCCAGCCAGGAUACCGGCGCCCACUGUCGCACAAAAUAUGACAUUGACUUAAUAAAGAAAUGAAAUAUCGCAGGCCAAGUGGAGCCCACUCGCCGUCGCAGAAGUCGCUGCAGAGGGGGGAUUUAAGCCGAAGCUGGCGCUAGUUGCCAUGCUGCGAUUUCGCAAAUUGUGGCACUUUCAGCUGCAAUGCCCCCCGCCUGAGGUGGCUCUCGCCGCACUCCGCACUCCGCCCUCCCCAAUCUCCACUCCACCGUCGGGUGUGACUGCGAGCGCAGUUGUACGAGCUGACCCAUUGAUCUUGUCGUGGCGUUUCAUUAUUUACAUUUUCUCUAACUACGGCAGAGCAGUUAGUGAGCAGCAAAAGAAUCUUAAUUGGAUUAGCUUCAGGUGAAGCGCCUUCUGCAUGGCCAGCCAGCCUCGUUUUAACUAGUCGCAGACUCUAACUAACAGCAGCCUCUCUCUAACAGUUAAUUAACUGGCUUUAACUAUCUUUGAUGCGGAUUCGGAGGCUGCUUAACUGAUUUGGGUUCUGGCUGCGACAUGGAUGAAAACUAUCGAAAUCUGGCUCUAACCGUAUAUGUUCAUAUCUGAAAAUGGAGCUAACGCAAUAAUAGUUUUAAUUAUAUACUCAAAUCUGCUGCAUAAAAAUGUAAUAAAGGCUUCUUAAAUAUUGUAUACUCAUAAAAGAAAUUGUUGAUAUAAAGAGUGCUUAUUCUAUGCAAAUAUUUUUAGUAGAAGCUAAAGAACAGCCAAUUGGCUUUUAAGCACUUCUACUUAAGCCUAGCAUAAGAUCACAUCAUGAAAUAAAUAAGUCGGUGUAUUUUCAGUUUAUUUAAUACAAAAUCAAGCAAAAAUAAAAUUGAAGAGGCAAAUUUUUGAUUACAAGAAGCUAAAUUAUGUAGAUUAAAUUACUUUGUAUAAAUUUUACCCCCGACCUAAGUAUGUGUCCCAAAAUAGUAUAAUACAAAUAAAUAAAAUCUAGAAAAUAGGUAUUGGCAAUUAUGUUGCACAAAUGUUGCCUAAUUCACUUAA